rnacentral:piRNA from 1 species
UGGGAAGGGGCACUUGGUGAGUAAGC